AAAUUGAAGAGUUUGAUCAUGGCUCAGAUUGAACGCUGGCGGCAGGCCUAACACAUGCAAGUCGAACGGUAACAGGAAGCAGCUUGCUGCUUUGCUGACGAGUGGCGGACGGGUGAGUAAUGUCUGGGAAACUGCCUGAUGGAGGGGGAUAACUACUGGAAACGGUGGCUAAUACCGCAUAAAGUCGCAAGACCAAAGAGGGGGACCUUCGGGCCUCUUGCCAUCAGAUGUGCCCAGAUGGGAUUAGCUGGUUGGUGAGGUAACGGCUCACCAAGGCGACGAUCCCUAGCUGGUCUGAGAGGAUGACCAGCCACACUGGAACUGAGACACGGUCCAGACUCCUACGGGAGGCAGCAGUGGGGAAUAUUGCACAAUGGGCGCAAGCCUGAUGCAGCCAUGCCGCGUGUAUGAAGAAGGCCUUCGGGUUGUAAAGUACUUUCAGCGGGGAGGAAGGUGUUGUGGUUAAUAACGGCAGCAAUUGACGUUACCCGCAGAAGAAGCACCGGCUAACUCCGUGCCAGCAGCCGCGGUAAUACGGAGGGUGCAAGCGUUAAUCGGAAUUACUGGGCGUAAAGCGCACGCAGGCGGUCUGUCAAGUCGGAUGUGAAAUCCCCGGGCUCAACCUGGGAACUGCAUUCGAAACUGGCAGG
rnacentral:rRNA from 1 species